rnacentral:rRNA from 1 species
CCUACGGGCGGCAGCAGUGGGGAAUAUUGCACAAUGGGGGAAACCCUGAUGCAGCGACGCCGCGUGAGUGAAGAAGUAUUUCGGUAUGUAAAGCUCUAGCAGCAGGGAAGAAAAUGACGGUACCUGAUGAAGAAGCCCCGGCUAACUACGUGCCAGCAGCCGCGGUAAUACGUAGGGGGCAAGCGUUCUCCGGAUUUACUGGGUGUAAAGGGAGCGUAGACGGCAGCACAAGUCGGGCGUGAAAUGCCGGGGCUUAACCCCGGAACUGCUUUGGAAACUGUGCAGCGAGAGUGCAGGAGAGGUCAGUGGACUUCCUAGUGUAGCGGUGCAAUUCGUAGCUCUUAGGCGGAACCCCAGUGGCGAAGGCGGCUUACUGGACUGUAACUGACGUUGAGGCUCGAAAGCGUG